rnacentral:rRNA from 1 species
AGAGUUUGAUCCUGGCUCAGGACGAACGCUGGCGGCGCGCCUAACACAUGCAAGUCGAACGGAGCUGAGAGGAGCUUGCUUUUCUUAGCUUAGUGGCGAACGGGUGAGUAACGCGUGAGUAACCUGCCCUGGAGUGGGGGACAACAGUUGGAAACGACUGCUAAUACCGCAUAAGCCCACGGCCCGGCAUCGGACUGAGGGAAAAGGAUUUAUUCGCUUCAGGAUGGACUCGCGUCCAAUUAGCUAGUUGGUGAGGUAACGGCCCACCAAGGCGACGAUUGGUAGCCGGACUGAGAGGUUGAACGGCCACAUUGGGACUGAGACACGGCCCAGACUCCUACGGGAGGCAGCAGUGGGGGAUAUUGCACAAUGGGGGAAACCCUGAUGCAGCGACGCCGCGUGGAGGAAGAAGGUUUUCGGAUUGUAAACUCCUGUCGUUAGGGACGAUAAUGACGGUACCUAACAAGAAAGCACCGGCUAACUACGUGCCAGCAGCCGCGGUAAAACGUAGGGUGCAAGCGUUGUCCGGAAUUACUGGGUGUAAAGGGAGCGCAGGCGGGAAGACAAGUUGGAAGUGAAAUCCAUGGGCUCAACCCAUGAAUUGCUUUCAAAACUGUUUUUCUUGAGUAGUGCAGAGGUAGGUGGAAUUCCCGGUGUAGCGGUGGAAUGCGUAGAUAUCGGGAGGAACACCAGUGGCGAAGGCGGUCUACUGGGCACCAACUGACGCUGAGGCUCGAAAGCAUGGGUAGCAAACAGGAUUAGAUACCCUGGUAGUCCAUGCCGUAAACGAUGAUUACUAGGUGUUGGAGGAUUGACCCCUUCAGUGCCGCAGUUAACACAAUAAGUAAUCCACCUGGGGAGUACGACCGCAAGGUUGAAACUCAAAGGAAUUGACGGGGGCCC